UCAAACUUGGUCAUUUAGAGGAAGUAAAAGUCGUAACAAGGUUUCCGUAGGUGAACCUGCGGAAGGAUCAUUAACGUAUCUCCGAGCCCGGUGGCCCCGCGCCCCGGCUCGAAACCACAAACCACUGUGCUCCUUUACGGCCCAGGCCGCCGGUGCGAGCCGUGCGACCAGGAGCCGCAUUCAAAUACUCGAGUUCAAAAGAAUGCAAAGCGGACUUUGAUUCCGCCCAUUAACUGAAACAACUUUCAACAACGGAUCUCUUGGCUCUCGCAUCGAUGAAGAACGCAGC
rnacentral:misc_RNA from 1 species